CUCCUACGGGAGGCAGCAGUGAGGAAUAUUGGUCAGUGGCCGGAAGGCUGAACCAGCCAAGCCGCGUGAGGGAGGACGGCCCUACGGGUUGUAAACCUCUUUUGCCGGGGAGCAACGGGCGUCACGUGUGGCGCCACUGAGAGUACCCGGAGAAAAAGCAUCGGCUAACUCCGUGCCAGCAGCCGCGGUAAUACGGAGGAUGCGAGCGUUAUCCGGAUUUAUUGGGUUUAAAGGGUGCGUAGGCGGAUCGUUAAGUCAGUGGUCAAAUUGAGGGGCUCAACCCCUUCCCGCCAUUGAAACUGGCG
rnacentral:rRNA from 1 species